rnacentral:rRNA from 1 species
CANGAAGGCAGCAGGCGCGUAAAUUACCCAAUGUGGACUCCACGAGGUAGUGACGAGAAAUAUCAAUGCGGGGCGCUUCGCGUCUUGCUAUUGGAAUGAGAGCAAUGUAAAACCCUCAUCGAGGAUCAACUGGAGGGCAAGUCUGGUGCCAGCAGCCGCGGUAAUUCCAGCUCCAGAAGCGUAUGCUAAAGUUGUUGCAGUUAAAAAGCUCGUAGUUGAAUUUCUGGUGUGGGAGCCCAGGCCUGGGUGCGAAUGCGCCUUGUAUUGCCUUGUGGCUCCUUUGCCAUCCUCGUUUUUCUUUUGAAGAACGUCAUUCACUGUAAUCAAAGCAGAGUGUUCCAAGCAGGCCGUAGGGCCGGUAUGUUUAUUAUGGGAUGAUCAGAUAGGACUCGGGUGCUAUUUUGUUGGUUUGCACAUCUGAGUAAUGAUUAAUAGGAACAGUCGGGGGUAUCCGUAUUUAGGAGCUAGAGGUGAAAUUCUUGGAUUUCCGAAAGACGAACUACAGCGAAGGCAUUUACCAAGCAUGUUUUCAUUAAUCAAGAACGAAAGUCUGGGGAUCGAAGAUGAUUAGAUACCAUCGUA